ensembl:lncRNA
UUUUCAUUUGUUUGUGUUGUUUUGGUUAUAGAAUAUAUGUGUUAAUUGAGAAAUUUUUAAUUUUUUGUUAAGUUUAAAAAGAAGAGAACCUCUUAGGUUACAACUUAUAAACUGAGGUUCAAAAGGUAACAAAAAUCCAUUGCAAUCCCACCAUCGCUGUCUUUACCUUUUUAUUAUAUAUCUGUUCCAGUUUAUUAAGCUCUUGUACAAAGGAAUAAAAUAUUUAAAGUGGUUAUAUAGGAGCCUUUUUAAAUCUACUGUACUAUACAUGAUAGGUCAAGUGGGAAGACUUAAAUGGCAGGGAGGUAAGCUAUGUGUCUGGUCAUUUGUAGUUGGAUGAUUGGGACAGUAUAGUAGCCAUAGGGAUGGAGUAGAAUUGGCAGUUGUGGUAUUUGGAAAGGAGAAUCUGUGGGACUUGGUAGUAAACAUGGAGGUUGAAAUGCUUGGAGUGGCGUAAGAGAAUAGGGUGCUUAAAUUAGGAUUCUCUCAGUAAUGUACCAGCCCACAAUACCUUAUCUGAAACCUUGGGGCCAGCUGUUUCAGAAUUUAAAAUUUUUUGAAUUUUGGAAAGGUAACGUGUAUAUUGUAUAUUAUAUAACAUCCCCAGCAAGGUUUGAGGCAUCACCCCAUAAUUAAACACUGGUAUUUCCACAGUGAAAAAAUAGAAAUGUUUGCAGUGAGUAGGCUAACUAAAGCUUAUAAGUAGCAUCACAUCAGUUCAAAGCAAAUUUUUGCCGCUGCAGGUGAGUUUUGACAUGAAACUUCAUGAAAAAUCUUUUCAGAACUUUUUAAAAAAGUUAUUUUGGCCAUGCCCAUGGCAUAUGGAAGUUCCCAGGCCAGGGACCCAAGCCACUGCAGUGACAACACCAGAUCCUUAACCUACCGCAGCCAUAAGAACUCAUAUCUUUUUAGAUUUCAGAACUACGGAAGUGAUUGUGGACUGAAUGGACUAUAAGAUCGAGUAAGGAGAGUCUUAGGAGUUGUUUUUUGAGAAAUGUUAAGUAUUAAAUAGGUGAAAUUUGAAGGAAUUGAGAAAGGUAAAGAAAGGCAGGAGAAGAGUUAAGGUAAUUUCAGUUUUUAGGCUAAAGAGAAAAUUGCUAUUUCUGAUAAAAAUGGGAAGUUGAAGCAGGGAAGCUCAUUUGGAGAAGAGUUUUAGUUUAAACUUAAGCACAAUUGAGAGGAAGAAGAUCUUCAAGUGAGAGUCCCUUUUAUUUUUCAUGUGUUCCAUAUCAUGCAUAAAUGAGCUUGUAAGUUUAGAAGUGUUGGCUUAGAAAAUUUCCCUUUAAAUGCACUCUUAAUUUUCAGAGCCUCUGGGCUCUGAUGUUGAGAUAUUAAAGUACUUCUGGGUUGGGAGUGGUUGGAAAGGUAUUCUUAGAUAACUAAGGGUUGUGGCCCUGCUUAGGUUGUGGAACAAAACCUCGCCAUUAGACCGAAAGGAGUAGAGUGAGGUACGGGUCCUCUAAAAGGAUGCUUGUCUGUAUGGUUGAAUCAUUAAUAUGGCCAUAUUUAUAAUAACAUGAAUAUAAUCAGAAGUAGUAAUUGUUGUAGCUGCAGUCCUAGCUGACAUAUUUUCCCUGCUUACCACGUGCCAGGCACUGAUCUAAGUGGUUUUCAGCAGUCUAGUGGUAUCUGUUCCUGCCUUGUAAAGUGGGUCAUGAUAUCAACCUAGGUCAGAAGCAUUAGGCUAGGUAGUGGUGUGAUUUUGAUUCCCAGUUUACUUAAGAAAAAUCUGGAAGAUAAAUAAUUAAUGCCUGAAUAUAAAGAAUUGACUAGGUUUUAACUUUUUUGACAUUCUGUGAUUUUCUUAAACUACUUUGAUAAAUGGAAUCAUACAUUAUUGUUGUCAUAUUAGAAAUACGGACAAGUGUCUUUAACAAGAAUGUCCAAUAAUUACUCUUAAAAUUCAUUUGCUUUCUACUUACUGUACAUAAAUAUGCUGUAUAUGUAUUAUUUAUUUUAUGAUUCAUAAGUUUAAAAAGGGAAAUAUCUUAAACGUUUAUUCAGAUUCUGCUACUGACUUCUAUGUGUUGAAAUUUAUGUUUUUCUUCUAUUAAAUAAGGAUGUUGGACUACAUAAUCUCUAAGGCCCUUUCAGCAUCAAAUUCUAUGAUUCUGAAUGUUAAAGUUUCAUCAAGUAGAGCAGAAAGUUUAAAUUACAAUUUAAAGGAGCUUCUUCCUAGAUUAUGCUGUAAGUGUAGAUGAGAUGCCAGAGGAAGAAAUGAGAGAAUGAAUGUCAUAAGUUUGUUCCUACCUCCUUUUGACUAAGAAGCAUGAAAAUAAGGAACCUAGGAAACUAGAAGAAUGUGCAGUGUUGACCAGAAAAGUUUUCAAGAAGAGAAUGAUCAGUAAGCAUUCAAGUUAGUAAUUAAUCAAUCAAGUUAAUAAAAUGUAGAGGAAAGAAACCUAGACCUGGAAUUAGAAAGCCACAAAUUACAUUUCUAGCCCUAACUCUGCUGCUUAUUGGAGUUUCGAUAAUCAGUAAAGUACUUAGUUUCCAAACCUUGCAAAUGAGAGUAAUAACUACCUGGUCCUUCUUGAUGAUUUUUCAUGAGGAUCAAAUUAUAUAAUGAGGGAGUUCCUAUUGUGGCUCAAUGGUAAUGAACCCGACUAAUAUCUAUGAGGACAGAGGUUCAAUCUGUGGCCUUACUCAGUGGGCUAAGGAUCCGGCGUUGCCAUGAGCUGUGGUGUAGGUCACAGACAUGACUUGGAUCCCCUGUUGCUGCAAUUGUGAUGCUGGCAGUUGUAUUUUCUAUUUGACCCCUAGCCUGGGUGUGGCCCUAAAGGGGGCAGGGGGAGGAUAGAUGAAUUAGAAAGUAGAAAGUACUUAAUAAAACUUACUUUGUGAAUGAAAAUAUUUUGUGACCUUCCUUUUAGAAAACAAAAUUUAACUGAGUACAUUUGAAGGUCUAAUUGGAUUUAUUAAAAGGUUCAUGACUCAAGUAGCAAAGUUAUGGAAAAAUGGUAGAUGAGGAUGCUGAAAAGUUGAUUGGAUUUGGUGAUUUGAAUAAAACUAUUAUCAAGGGAGGAAAUUUGAAGGCAAUUGAAAACAAAGUUGAGGCCAUAGCAUACACAGUAGAGAAGUUUGGCAAGGCACGCAGUAAGAGAGAGGUGGCCUAGCAUAGCCUGUUUAUUCCUUGCAUCGUUCUUGGCAGUUUUUGUAUAUUUAUUUGUGUUCCUUACUGGAUUGGGAAUAGGUAGAGCACAGGAACUGCAUUUCAUUUGCAGUGCCUUGAAUAAAGUAGCAAUUUUAAUACCUUAAAAUGUGUGAAUAAAUACUUACUGAAGACAACUGGUAAGGAAAAAUUUUGUGGUACGAGUGUGUACAUGGAUGUAUGUUUAGGAUAGUUAAGACUUAAACAUGUUCAUAGGUUGAAGUGAGAGAUUGAAAAGAAAGGGUGUUGGUUUCCUCAAGCAAAUGUGAAAGAAAGGAUCUGGAGCCACGAAUAAAAAUGCUGGUCUUACUGGUAUGAGAAUAUUACUGCAAAAAGCACCAGAUAAUUAAUUUCAGAACUUAGAGGGGGAAAAAAGGUAAGCUUCCUGGUUCUUUUUACAAAGCCAGCAUAACAUAGGUAUGUAAAGAAAAUUACACACCAGUCUCACAAAAGUUGGUGCAAAGAAUGCUUAGUAAAACUAUCAAAUAGAAUGUACAUUACAUUAACAUAAUAAUACUAUAACAGUAGGAAUUACUCAGAAUGUAAUGUACUCUAAGAAUGUAAAGAUAAAUCAAAUUAACUCAUUAGUAGGUGGGGGCGUAUGACUAUCCUGAGGGAUAUCAAAAGAGGGGGAAUCAACAUUUCUUUUUUUUUUUUUUUAAUAGGGCUACGUCUGGGGCAUAUGGAAGUUCCCAGGCUAGGGUCAAAUCGGAGCCACAUCUCCAACCUAUACCACAGCUCGGAGCAACACCAGAUCCAUAACCCACUGAGCGGGUCCAGGGUUCAAACCCACAUCCUCAUGGAUACUAGUCAGGUUCUCUACCCCUGAGCUACAACAGGAACUCUAACAUUUAUUUCUAAUAAGAGUCCUUAGUAAAAUAAGAAUGAGUUAACUUAGCUAAGGUUUUAUAUAUCUCAGACCAGAAGCCAGCAUUUUGUUACUAGAAAUGGUAAAAUACUAGAAUUUCUAUUUUAGUAUUCAGUGAAAUACUAAAUUCCUUUUAAAAAGUCAUGAAUCAGAAAAGGUCUGGCUAGCAUUACUGUUACAUAACAUUGUCUUGGGAAUGCUGACCACUAUAAUUGGACCAAAAAACAAAAAAGGAGGUAUAAUUAUUGAAAGGGAAGAGGCAUAUUUAUUAUUUGUAGAUGACAUUUUAUAUCUGGAAAAGUCAAAAGAAUCAAACAUUACUUUGAGUAAUGAGAUUUUAAUAUGACAACUAGUUAUAAAAUGUAAAAACAAAAAUGCAUGGUUUAUCUAAAAUAUUUUUCUUGAAGGUCUUUUUUUUUUUUUUUUUUUUUUUUUUUUUUUUUUUUUUGUCUUUUCUAGGGCUGUACCCAGGGCAUAUGGAGGUUCCCAGGCUAGGGGUCGGGUCGGAGCUGUAGCCACCAGCCUAUGCCGUGUGGGAUCUUUUCUGAGAUCUAUACCACAGCUCACGGCAACGCCAGAUCCUUAAUCCACUGAGCGAGGCCAGGGAUCGAACCCAAAACCUCAUGGUUCCUAGUCAGGUUCAUUAACGGGAACUCCUUUUGAUGGUAUUUUUGUUAAUUAAUGAGAAUCCUCAUUCUUAAGUACCCUUUUUUUUUUUAAUCUGGCGAAAUUUAUUUUACUCUUAUCUCUAAGUUAAUUGCAAUCUAUUUUAAGUAAGAAACUUUCCAUAUUAACUUUUAAAAACUAUUGUAAGGAGUUCCUGUCGUGGCUUAGUGAACCUGACUAGUAUCCAUGAGGACCCAGGUUUGAUCCCUGGCCUCACUGAGGUUUAAAGAUCUGGCGUGGCUGUGACUGUGGCAUAGGCUGGUGACUACAGCUCUGAUUUGACCCUUAGCAUGGGAACUUCCAUAUGCUGCAGGUGUGGCCCCCCAAAAAAAGGCAAAAUAAAUUUUUUAAAAAUCUAUUUCAAAAUAAAGUUAUAGCAAUGAUUGUAUUUCAAAGUAACUUUAAGAAUUUUUUUUUCUUUUCUAAAAUUCCUUGUGGCUUGUGAUACUUGCUCUAUUACUUGGUAAUGCCAGGGAAGGUGUAAUCUGAUCUUUGAACCAUAUUUGGUAAAUAAUAAUUUUGUGUGGAACCCACUGUUCUAUCAGUAAGAGGAAAAUUAUUACCCAAACGUAAGGCUUUUCUUUGCCCUUAAAAUAUUUCCUGACUUAAAGACCAAAUUAUAUAUUGAUUCCUUUUGUUUUUUAAAAGUCACUGUAUUCCAGAUCUAUAACCUUUUAGCAAGAAGUGUGUUGGCAAAAGUAUUUUCUGCUCCGAGUUCCUGUCGUGGCUCAGCAGAAAUGAAUCUGACUAGCAUCCAUGAGGAUGCAGGUUCAAUCCCUGGCCUCUCUCACUAGGUUAAAGGAUCCAGAGUUGCUGUGACUGUGGCGUAGGCCAGCAGCUACAGCUCCAAGUUGGCCCCUAGCCUGAGAACCCCCAUGUGCCGAGGGUUUGGCCCUAAAAAGAUUUUUUUAAAAAAGUAUUUUUUGGAGUUCCCGCUGAGGCUCAGUGGUUAAUGAAUCCGACUAGGAAACAUGAGGUUGCGGAUUCGAUCCCUGGCCUCGCUCAGUGGGUUAAAGAUCUGGCAUUACCAGGAGCUGUGGUGUAGGUCACAGACAUGGCUCGGAUCCCGCAUUGGGGUGGCUGUGCUGUAGGCCGGCGGCUAUGGCUCCGAUUAGACCCCUAGCCUGGGAAUCUCCAUAUGACACGGGGAACAGCCCUAGAAAAGGCAAAAAGACAAAAAAAAAAAAA